rnacentral:rRNA from 1 species
AGAGUUUGAUCCUGGCUCAGAUUGAACGCUGGCGGCAUGCCUAACACAUGCAAGUCGAACGGCAGCACAGUGUGUAGCAAUACACAUGGGUGGCGAGUGGCGGACGGGUGAGUAAUGCAUAGGAAUCUGCCCAGUAGCGGGGGACAACCCGGAGAAAUCCGGGCUAAUACCGCAUACGCCCUACGGGGGAAAGCGGGGGACCGAAAGGCCUCGCACUAUUGGAUGAGCCUAUGUCGGAUUAGCUAGUUGGUAGGGUAACGGCCUACCAAGGCGACGAUCCGUAGCUGGUCUGAGAGGACGAUCAGCCACACCGGAACUGAGACACGGUCCGGACUCCUACGGGAGGCAGCAGUGGGGAAUAUUGGACAAUGGGGGCAACCCUGAUCCAGCAAUGCCGCGUGUGUGAAGAAGGCCUGCGGGUUGUAAAGCACUUUCGGUGGGGACAAAAAGUGGCGGGAUAACACCCUGCUAUCUUGAUUUAACCCAUAGAAGAAGCACCGGCUAACUCUGUGCCAGCAGCCGCGGUAAUAC